UACAGAGGUCUCAAGCGUUGUUCGGAUUCAUUGGGCGUAAAGGGUGCGUAGGUGGCGGGGCAAGUCAGGUGUGAAAUCUCGGAGCUCAACUCCGAAACUGCACUUGAUACUGCCUUGCUGGAGUACUGGAGAGGAGAUUGGAAUUUACGGUGUAGCAGUGAAAUGCGUAGAUAUUGGGAGGAACACCAGUGGCGAAGGCGGUCCCCUGGGCCGGAACUGACGCUGAGGCGCGAAAGCGUGGGUAGCAAACGGG
rnacentral:rRNA from 1 species